rnacentral:sRNA from 3 species
GCUGUCUGUACGACUGCACCGAGGGGUGAGCGCGUGUCGCACGAAAGUCUGUUCGAAGAAAGCGAAGCGCCCUACGCGGCGCUGUGCGUAGUUGCCAACUUCACGACAGACGGCGAGUGAGCAGGCGCUCAUCACCAGGG